rnacentral:rRNA from 1 species
UUAGCCCUAAACACAAAUAAUUAUAAAAACAAAAUUAUUCGCCAGAGUACUACCGGCAACAGCCUAAAACUCAAAGGACUUGGCGGUGCUUUAUACCCUUCUAGAGGAGCCUGUUCUAUAAUCGAUAAACCCCGAUAGACCUCACCAAUUCUUGCUAAUACAGUCUAUAUACCGCCAUCUUCAGCAAACCCUAAAAAGGAAUAAAAGUAAGCAUAAUCACAACACAUAAAAACGUUAGGUCAAGGUGUAACCUAUGAAAUGGGAAGAAAUGGGCUACAUUUUCUACCACAAGAAAAUCACACGAAAGUUAUUAUGAAACUAAUAACCAAAGGAGGAUUUAGUAGUAAACUAAGAAUAGA